AGGAGGUUGGCUUAGAAGCAGCCACCCUUUAAAGAAAGCGGAAUAGCUCACUAGUCGAGUCGGCCUGCGCGGAAGAUUUAACGGGGCUAAAACUAUAUACCGAAGCUGCGGAUGCACUUAGUGCAUGGUAGGGGAGCGUUCUGUACGCCGAUGAAGGUGGAUUGAGAAGUCUGCUGGAGGUAUCAGAAGUGCGAAUGCUGACAUGAGUAACGAUAAUGCGGGUGAAAAACCCGCACGCCGAAAGUCCAAGGUUUCCUACACAACGCUAAUCGGUGUAGGGUUAGUCGGUACCUAAGGCGAGGCAGAAAUGCG
rnacentral:rRNA from 11 species